UGUGCGUGGAGAAAAUUUAUUUUUUAAGGUUUAUAAAAGAAAGAAAAGAUUGAGAAAUUAAAAAAAAGGGCUCGGACUUUGAUUGUUUUUUUUGAGAGAUAGGUAGCACGCUACCCGCUUCGUUUAUUUUAUUUAGAAAUAAACUUAGCUAGAAAUGUGAAUCACCUAGGAUUCGAACUUGGGUCUCGGAUAUCAACCACCAAGUCCUUUGCCACUUGUUCUAGGGACGGUCGGUCUCAGACUUUGAUUGUUUUUCUCUCUUUCGUAGUUGUACUAGCUUUUUACUAAGAAGGCGAGUUUAUGAUAAAUAUUCGAUUUGAUGCUUCUAUAUAAAAUCUAAACAUGUCGAUAUCGAAGCGAGUACCGGAUCAACAGUUGAUAUCAGAGCGAAUUGCAAAUUCUCAAAAUC
rnacentral:lncRNA from 1 species